AACGCAUCUUGCGCCUAUUAGUAUUCUAGUAGGCAUGCCUAUUCGAGCGUCGUUUCUAUUCUCAACUAAUUUAUAGUUGGUGUUAGAAGCUAGGAUAAUACCAGCUUCUUAAAUUUAAUAGCUAUUGUAUCUGGCGUUCUUCUACAAAGUAAUCAUACCUGUUUAAGAACACAUUUAUAUUAGUAUUAAUUAUGAUUUAUAUUAGUUGACCUCGAAUUAGGUAGGAAUACCCGCUGAACUUAA
rnacentral:misc_RNA from 1 species